rnacentral:rRNA from 1 species
GAUGAACGCUGGCGGCGUGCCUAAUACAUGCAAGUCGAGCGAACAGACGAGGAGCUUGCCCCUCUGACGUUAGCGGCGGACGUGUGAGUACCACAUGGAUACCGUACCUAUAGGACAGGGAUAACUUCGUGAACCAGGACCUAAUACGGGAUAAUAUAUUGAACGGCAUGGUUCAAUAGUAAAAUACGCUUUUCCCGUCACUUAUAGAUGAUUCCGUGCCGCAUUAGCUAGUUGGUAAGGUAACGGCUUACCAAGGCAACGAUGCGUAGCCGACCUGAGAGGGUGAUCGGCCACACUGGAACUGAGACACGGUCCAGACUCCUACGGGAGGCAGCAGUAGGGAAUCUUCCGCAAAGGGCGAAAGCCUGACGGAGCAACGCCGCGUGAGUGAUGAAGGUCUUCGGAUCGUAAAACUCUGUUAUUAGGGAAGAACAAGUGUUUAAGUAACUAUGCACGUCUUGACGGUACCGUAUCAGAAAGCCACGGCUAACUACGUG